rnacentral:lncRNA from 1 species
AUCACUAUUGAGAGAAAAGAGGCAAAGUUGGGAGAUGAGAGAAAAUAGAAAGUAAGAAGAAGAAAGAAGAAUAUUCAAGAGAAAGAGAGAUGGAAAAGCUUAAGAGUGAGAUUAGAGUGAAGAUUUAAGUUGCUUUUGAAGGGUUAAGGUAAGAGGAAAGUUUAUAUUCACCGUUUAGAGAUUAUGAGUGAUAGAGUGUUUAUGAGUCAUGUUUGUUUAUAUGAUUCUCAUGAAUUUAGUGUUUUGUUAAGUUGAUUUUCAUGCUAUUUAAUUAUGCUAAUUAUGAGUAUGAUGAACUUUAUGAAAUUAUGUUAUUUAUAUGCUUAAACUUAUGCUUGAUGGUAUAAAAUAAGUUGUUCUUGAGAUUUCAGCUUAAAUGUGUGAAAAUCAAGAUGUUGUUGAUGAUUCUUUCUCAAAUUAUGUUCUAAUUGCUAGCUAUGUUGAUGGAAUGAUCAUGUUAAAUUUGAUGUUUGAAUUAAGUUGUGGUUUGUUGGUGAAUUUUGUGAGAAAUGAGUGACAAACCAUGAAAUGAUGUUUUGACGAAUUGAGUUUUGGGAUUAUGAGUUUUGGGUGUGGAAUUGAAUUUGGGGAAAAACGGGUUUUUAAGCUAAAAGUCAAUAUUUAGUGAUUCUAUGAAAUAAGCUAUUUUUGGGCUAAGUUAAUGGAAAUGUUUUGAUUAAGAAAUGAGGCUGAAUAGUAGGGGUUAAAUAGGCUAAGUGAUUGGGAUUGUUUCUGGUGCGAUCAGGAUCGAAAACAGUUUUGAAAACAGACUCUCGUGUGCAAAAACAUAAAAAUUCAAGAACCCUGUCUUGUCAAGGCAGCACGACCAUGCGGCCUAGGAGCACGUAUUGUGUGUAUUGUUCGCACUUGGUCAGUACAACCGUACGGCCAAUUUGCACGACCGUGCGCCCUGUACUAUGUCGGGAAACCUCAUUUUUUUUUUGUCGUUUUUAAAUUUUAAGCAUAUCAUUUGGUCCCAAACACCUAAUCUUAGUUAAUUGAUGUAUAAUUGAGUACUUAAACUUAAUUUAACUUGAUUUGGAUUGGAAUUGAAUUGUAUGGUGCAGACUUUUGAAAAUAGACGAACUUUGACAUUUUAAGAAAUAGAUAAACUUUGAAACUUAAUGAAUCACACUAAGAUAACUUGAGGAUGAUUAUGUGCUAUUGUUGUGAAGAUGAAUGGGGAUUGGUUUGAUUAUGAUAUGUAUUCUUGAAAUGUGGAUUAACUAGAAUGAAUUCUUAAUCGUCUUUAAAUGCCAAUUAUGCUAAAUGAAUGUUUGUUGUUUCUUGAGAUGAUAAAUGUUUGAUGACGAUUGCGGUGAAAUUAUUUAUUGAUGAUAAUUAACUCAUGAUGGUGUGAAUGUGUAUAUAUGUAUAAAUGAGGAUGAAUACAUGUAUAUAAAGUGGUGAAGUUAUGAUGGUGAUGUUUUGUAUGAACAUAUGUAUUUGGUGAGUUAUAUGUUCAUGCAUUCAUGGAUCUUGGAGUACGAUAUUUCAAUAUCCAAGUGGAGAUUAGGAUAAUUGUAUCCAAGUGGUGAUUUAGGAUAUUUCAAUAUCCAAGUGGAGAUAGGAUUAAUCGGUAAAAUAAUUCCGACAUCCAAAAACGGUACCGUAUGAAUAUAGAAUUGUGUCUAGAGCAUUGCAUGCAUAUGAAUCUAUGUGAAAUGAUUUAUACUUGUUGAAUCUAUGUGAAUUUUCUUCUACAUCAACAUGUAUAUUGUAUAGUUCAUUCCCAUCAAAGUAUUAUUUGUAGUUUUAUUAUUGUUUUGAUUUGGCUAUUAUGUUCAAUUUCUUUUUUCCCAGUCCAACGAAAUUACUUUGAUUUUGUCCUGAUGAAGAAUUAGAAUUAUGAAGAUGAACAAAAACACACCAACCAAGAAACGUGAAUUGAGAGAGAAGAUGACAGCAACAAAAACAAUUAAGGAAAAGAACCAGCGGGCCCCAAUAAGAAGCUGAGAAAGUAGAAAAUUUAAAAAUAAAAAUAAUCAUUUAAAGGUCAAUUACGUCAUUGUCCCUUACUAUUGUCUUUUCCAAAAAAUAAAAAAUAGGUUUUUUAGUCUAAAACAAAAGGUGCACCUACCUUGCUAAAAUAGACCUUCAUGAAAAUAAGUUGGUCUAUUGUAGCAAACCCCAUAUAUAUAUAGGAUUCCGACGAAGAUGAAGAAGUAGGUACAGAUAGGUGGCGAAUGGGUACAGAUGCUGGAAAAAUGAUGAACAGUCAAAACAACAGGUUGAUUCGAUGAUUCAUUCAUUCAAGAGUCAUGUUAAUUGUUGAUUCAAAGAAAGAAAGAAAAAAAGAAAAAAAAAGAGGCAUGUUAAUUGCUGGAUAUGCCAUGGCUGAUGAAUAUUAGGCGAGGAAGAAAGAGGAAGAAAGAUUUCAACGAAAUCAUAGAGUAGAGAGAGGCAUGUGUUGUUAAAUGAGGCUUUUUAAUCUCAGUCAAUUAAUUUUAAUCUAAAGGCUCACAAUCAUUCCUACCAUUCUCGUAUAUAAAUGUCAUUCUCAUGUGAUAUGCCCCCUAUAUAUAUAUAUAUAUAUAUAUAUAUAUAUAUAUAGAGAGAGAGAGAGAGAGAGAAUGAAUUUUUGAAUGAGUAUAGAAAUAUUUUGUGUCCAAAUAUAAUUGUUGGACAAAAGAAAAAUCAAUAUUUAGUCGAAAGUAGACGUUGGUCUGCCCUUAUCUCCCAUGAUAAUUAGUUGGGAAGCGAUUCCAUGUGGUGACUUUACCUCCUCUGAUGAUUUAAACCAUUAAAUGCAUUCUCUCCCUCUCAACAUUAAAUGCUUUUUUCUCUUUUAUCUUGAAGAUUUCACUAGAUCUCUCCAUUAUCCGAAGAGGAUAUGUUCCGUGAUUAACUACCUCUCCCGAUGCUUUUUCCUCUUUUAUUUUGAAGAUUUCACUAGAUCUCUCCAUUAUCCAAAGAGGAUAUGUUCUAUGAUUAACUGCCUCUCCCCAAAUUCUCAUUUGUGAAACCUUGUUAAUUGGUACUAGUAAGGUGUGGUGGGAUUACAUAAGAGAUCCUAGGCAUUGAUGGAAAUUGUUGGAAAAAUAUAUAGUGUGUGAGCUAAUGGUAGAGUAGUUAGAGACAUUGGACAAGAGGACACACAUUAGUAGUUACUACAUUGUAUGAGAAGAGAACAUGAUUUGGUGAAGCCUUUUUAAUAUUAUUGACAUUGCAUCUUAAACGUUUGAAUACAAUUGCACCCAUAUACCUAUACUUAUAGGUGCUUGAAGGUGUUUCUAGAACUAGAUUCUAGGCCUUUGUUUGCCAUUUCUACAUUAGAUUAUUAUAGAUGUUUCUAAGCUAUAACUUAAUUUAUACAUUAAUAAAAUAAUCUAGAAACAUGUAGCAACUUUGAGUUAUUCUAGUUUUCUCUAAUAGACGUCGUUAUAUUAACUAGAAAAUUCUAGAAAUAUGUAUCAAUUUCAACACUCCUCCUUGAUGCAUAUUUCAGAAACUCCAAAUGUAAUGCGUAGUUGCUCAAACAUAGAUUUGUGAUAUCAUCUUUUCCUACAUUGAUACUCUUCAUAGUUGAUUAAUUUGACAAGUCUUACCUCCACCAUGAUAGUACAUUUGUGUUACCUCUUGCUAUAAAUAGGUUUGUGACAUCAAUUGGACUUGAACUUAAUAGGAUCGAGCUGUUAGGCUACCUGAACUCUUCUAUUUCCUUCUUAGUUUUGGGUUUGAACUCAAAUAGAGUAUGGCCUAGUGGCUACCUAUACUCCUUUUGUUUUUGAGUCAUAGACUCGGAUUUUCUAGUUUAGUAGGAUAUCAUUCACAUUGUAGAAUAUAUAUAUAUAUAUAUAUAUAUAUAUAUAUAUAUAUAGUUGGUGACACGAGAUCAUAUUUUGUUUGACAAAAAAUUAUAUUUAAUUUUCCAAAUAAGAGAAAAUAAUUCAAUAAAAGUCACACAAGAUAAAGAAAAUGAUCAAAUUGAUCUUCUUUAUUUUAAGCAAGAGCAUUACAUGGGAUACAAAAUGCAGUUGAAUCCUUUAUUCUAGUACAAAAUCACAUGCACCCACACAACUAACAAGCUAGACUCUCAAUACCUUUGACAGGAAAACAAACAAACAAGAAACACUUAAUUUUGCAGCAAUAUUCACUUGAAAAUUAUUCCAUAGCAACCAUACGGGAAGGGGGUGGAGUAGAAGCAGUAAAUGGCUGUCCCCUUUUUUCCAUCGAUUUCAUUUUCAAACGCAGCUCCUUCUCCUUGUAUAGAAUAUCAGCCAACCUUCAUAUAUCAUAAUCAUAACGUAAUUAGCAUUUCAUAUUUACUUAGGAGAUGGCCAACCCUAGAAUAAUUCUAUGUUAAACAUGAACUAGAUUUUUGACCCGUGUUCCGCUCGGGUUUAUCGUAAAGGGUAUUCUGUUUGUAAACGUAUUAAAUAAGUGUAGAAUAUAUUGUCAAAAAAAAAAAAAACAGUAACAGGAUAGGAAUGAAAUAAAGGCAAGAGGAUAGGAAUGAAAUUGGUGCAAUGAAUUAUUUUAGAUACAAUUUGUUAGGUUAAAUAAUUGCAAACCUAAUAAAGCAAAAAUUAAUAAAUAAAGAUAACUAUAUCAUAAAAAUGUUAAAAAAUGAACAAACCUUGUAAGAGCCUCAUCGUUUGUACCCUCACUUGGUUUUACAUAUGGGACAAACGAAGUAACAUUUUGUAUCUUAACAGGUUGUUUCAACAAGUCUUCUCCUGCCUUUACAAGUUUUUGCAUGCCUUCUUCGGUAACAUUGACAAUAGAUGGAUUCAAGUUAUACUCCUGCACAGCACAUAUACCCGGACGUUACAUGUUUCAUUCAAUGAAAAAUUAAAAAAUUACAAUACUAAUCUUUUUUUUAAAGUAAAUUUUUUUAAAUAAAUAAAAACCCUAUAUGCAACCAUUUAUUAUGUACCUCAACUCGAAGGUAGUAAUUUUCCGAAGAAGGUGAGUCUGGGAAGACUGAUGCAAGGUGAUAUUCAUGUAUGUCUGCAGCAGCACUAGCAUAACCCAAAGCAAGAAUGGACGUCCAAUUAUUAUACGAGAAGGUUUUUGCAAGUAAAGAACCAGGCCCUAGAAUCGUGUUUCUUCCACAUCCUAAUGACAACAACACGAUUUUGGUAGGUUCGUUUGGAUUCACAGGAAUGAAAUUAGGAUUCUUCUCAUUCAAUUGUUGCAUCACUUCACUUACUGCAACCAAUGCCUGAAUUACAUGCAUACAAUUUUUAUAGAACAUUAAUGUGCAACCAUAUCAUAUGUAACAUAUGACUAAUGAUAUAUAUAUUAAAUACACUUACCGGGCUGCCUGCAGCUAUACCUCCAUCAACUAAAUUGAAUGGCCUUCUACGAUUCCAAAAGAAAUAGGGUGGUAGAAGAGUUGGUGCAGCUGAAGUCCCAAUGGCUAUAUCCGACAAUUUUGCAUCUAGGCUAGGAAUUUCCUCCAACUGCAUGAGCAACGAACGUUUCACAAACUAAGGUAAAUAAAUUACAAGCUUUCCCUCAUGUUUAUGCAAAUAUAUAUGCUGACCUUAAAGCUUGAGAAAAUGACCGGGUGAAGUAGAAGGAUGUCGAAGGUUGGGAUUACAACAUUGGUCAAUGUAUCAUGCAAACGUGUUUCUUGCAAUAUCUCACGUGUUUUAGCACGUAAGAACUCGCCAUCAAACUUCGGACCCGGGGUGGUAUGAGUCCAAUUCCUGCAAAAAAAAAUUAUAUAGCAAGAGAGAAUAUGUUAAAAAGAGUAUAAAGGGAACUUAAACAAGCUAAUUAAAUACAACAUCAGAACCAAGAUUGUGUUUGCGAGUUGGAUUUUAGAGGGUUUUGUGACGGAAGACUUUUUAAGGCAAACUCUAUAUUUUAAUACAUAUUUGAUAUUUUUUUUUAUAUAAAAAAAAUGAAAGGACAACAUGAUACAUCAGUAUAUAUUAUCAUGCUAUUCAUUUAAUUUUUUUUUAGAGUAUCAAAUAUAUAUCAAAAUAUAAACUUGACUCUCUAAAACUCUCCCCUCCAAAAACCAACUUCCAAACAUACUCUUAGAGAACAUAACAUUAUUUGUGCAUACAAAUUGAGUUUUAUUAUGUCAAAGAAUUUAGGCAUAUUGAGAAUUUUUCAUUUAGAAAGUAAUAUAAAGUUUUUUUUUUUUUUUUUUUGUAGUAAUAGUCUAAACCCAAUUCAAUUAGAAUAUCAAAUAAAACUUAAUCCGGCCAGUUUAGCUUAGGACCAGUCUACUAUUAACAUUUUCAUGUGAUUUAUUGAAAAUUAGUAUUAGUAAAAACUUUGAAAUUAUAAUUAAUUUUAAGGUUAUUAAUAAAACAUAUAUAUAUAUUAUUCAAACUUAAUAAAAAGAUAUACAUAAAUAGAUAAAAAACUUUAAAGUUUAAAAAUUAUAAUUUGGUUCAUCUAAAUGAAUAAAACUUGAAUUUAAUUGAUAUUUAAUAUUAAUGUAAUAAUAAAAAGUAUGCUUGCAUCCAAUCAUAUCUCACCAAUUAGAUAUUUUUGAAAACUAAUCUACGAAAAUGUAAUCAAAAAAAUAAAAUGAGUGAAUAAACAAAAAAAAAAAAAAAGGGUUAGACUCUUCCAUCAACCCACAUAUAGCCCAUAAUGGAUGAAUCUGGCUUAAUAAUGUACAGCUUAAUAACAAGCAAGACAAUCUAAUCCGACCUAUUUAUGUAGUUAGGCUCGUCGAGCCAAAGUUGGUUGGACCGAGAUAGCCCAUUUAAUUGCUUUAACGAUGAUAUAAUAUAAGAGGAGUGCUAUCCAUCACAAGCAAUUGUCUCACGAUUGUAUAGCGAAAAGUGUUUAACCAAUUAAAUUUUUUUCUGGCCGGAAUUCACGCUGGGUGGGGGAAAUGGUUGACCAAUUAAAACACUAGAAAGCCGGAAUGAACGGGCUCGGGAUGAUUUCGCAUGAAAUUUUUCGCUGAAUAUAUCAUUUUCCAUAAUAUAAAUAGAAUGAUAUUGUUUCUAUGAAAUACCUAGCAGCAGUUUGGUUGAAUAUAGAUUGACCAUAAUCCAAGUAGAAUUGUAAGAUUUCUUUAGCAGUAAAUGCAGGACGAGAAGUAUCAUUCAAGUUAGGAGCAGCAAGCAUAGCAGCAAUGAGUCCUCCAGUACUUGUCCCUGCUAUCACAUCAAAAUAAUCUGCCAGUGCUGC